rnacentral:lncRNA from 1 species
CAAAAAGAAAAAAAAUACUUUGCGGAAAUUUUUUCAGCAAUGGGGGGGAAACCCCAGGCAGGAAACUGGAAGUGGGCUUCACCCCAAGCCACGUAAGGCUUCACCUGGAAUUUAUACUGGCAG